GUGAAGAACGUAGCGAAAUGCGAUACUUGGUGUGAAUUGCAGAAUCCCGUGAACCAUCGAGUCUUUGAACGCAAGUUGCGCCCGAAGCCAUUAGGCCGAGGGCACGCCUGCCUGGGCGUCACACGUCGUUGCCCCCCCAUCUACUCCUUCGGGAUUGCGGGGGGCGGAUGAUGGCCUCCCGUGCGCCUCGUCGCGCGGUUGGCAUAAAUGCCAAGUCCUCGGCGACGCACGCCACGACAAUCGGUGGUUGCGAAACCUCGGUUGCCCGUCGUGUGCGGUCGUCGCGCAUCGAGGGCUCGAAAAAAUUGCCGGGCUCCGGCUCGACUUUCAACGCGACCCCAGGUCAGGCGGGGUUACCCGCUGAAUUUAAGCAUAUCAAUAAGCGGAGGA
rnacentral:misc_RNA from 1 species